CUAAACAAAAAAUUCAAAUUUUGUUGUACAGUAAUUAUUUUUUUUGCUUCAUCGAAAACUGAACAAAAAUUAAAAAUUGGAAGCGAAGCAAAAAAUUGUUUUUCACACUUUUAAAUUAUUUAUGAUGAGCGGAAAAUGCAAUUGCACUUGACUUCAAUUUAGCCAAUAGCCUGCCGCCCAUAGUUGGGUCUGAGCCCUGUGCACUGGGCUCUUUCCCCAUACCGUCCUCCGUUCACCAGCAGUCGCCUGACCUCGCCCAACUUAAAACUACGAUUUGCAUAUUUUGUUGUGGAAAUUUGUUGUUUUCGUUGUCAGCAUUGAAUUGUCGCAUUUUUGCCCCGAGGCUGGGGUUUUGUUACUGGGUCUGGGUGGCUCUGUGGCUGGGAAAUGGGCCUGAAGGAAAAAUUACAUUUUAUUUUGUCGCGACAAAAAAAUAGCAAAAAGAACUGAAAUGUUAUGGAAUUAAUGGGACGAAGCUUCAAAUACACUGAAGGGUACGUAUCAGACCAAAGUACGAGUAAGUGAGCAAACUCUGAAUAUUUCAGCACAAAACUUUGAAUAUUUGUAACUCUAUGAAAUAGAGAACUGAAAGCUUGCAGAACUAUUUGAAAAU
rnacentral:lncRNA from 1 species